GCACGCUUUGGUGUGCCACCGAAAUGAGUCCCCUAAUACAGAGAAGAUUAUCAUGGCCCCUGCACAAGGAUGACAUGCAAAUUCAUGAAGUGUUUCAUAUUUUU
rnacentral:snRNA from 1 species